UACAGAGGCCUCGAGCGUUAGGCGGAAUCACUGGGCUUAAAGCGUGUGUAGGCGGACUUCUAAGUGCCUUGUGAAAUCCCACGGCUCACCCGUGGAACUGCUUGGUAUACUGGUUGUCUUGAGCCUUCUAGGGGCGAGUGGAACAAAUGGUGGAGCGGUGAAAUGCGUAGAUAUCAUUUGGAACGCCAAUGGUGAAAACAACUCGCUGGGGAAGUGCUGACGCUGAGACACGAAAGCCAGGGGAGCGAACGGG
rnacentral:rRNA from 1 species